AUCAAUGGGCGGCAAUGCGAGUGGAGCCACUCCUUCCAUUCACUGCCACAACAUCAUCAUAGACCGGGCCACUCCAUCGCCGAAAAUCAGUCUUGGAAAUCAACGACACUGUUUCGGUGAAUCCAUCCCCGGAGAGUUUCCUCUGGCCACAAACCCCUCUAUAGUUCUCCAUGUCCUAACAGCUUGUAAUUUGGAUCCUCAGG
rnacentral:misc_RNA from 1 species